CACCUGGAACCGAAAGUAAGAGGGACUGGUGAGCAGGGCUGUGGACACCCACUGGAGGAUGCCGUCAGGCUAAGGAGAAAGGGAGGUAUUCAGGGUCCCUCCUGGGAGGCCUGAGGCAGGCCUCAGCAGGCAGCCCCCUCCACUGCCCUGGGCUAGCCCAGGCUGCCUCCUCUUUACUGGCAUCCACCCACCUGGGGGUGCCAGGACAGAGAUACAACGCCAGGCCUCACCACCAGGGGGCGGCUGGCUCCCACUCAUCCACAGCCAAACCCACACCUGCUGACAGAUGAUGCCACCCCAGGGGCAGUGACCCCCAGGGGCAGUGACAGGGACCAAAUGACCCUGCAAACCAGUGCUUCAUCACAUGGAUGUUGAGCACAGGACAGCUUUCACAGGGAGAGAGGAGAGACGCAGUCCAAGAAGCAGCUAAGGAAAUAACUAACACUGACAGGCCAGGACGAGUCAGGUGACCAUGCAUCAAGGCCAGGCCACCCUCCAUCCACCCAUGAUGUUUCCAUGAUGCCACAGGAGAGGGGCUCCCCCAAAGGACUCGGUCACAGCCCCUGGCCGCUCUCCGUCAGCUUCCUGCCUGUUACCCGGGCUGUGUGUGGGUGCCCGACGAGCUGGUGUGCCUCAGCAGGGGCCGUUCUCAGGGGUCUCUGCACCCUCAGGGAAGGCCUGCUGGGCCUGGCGGCCUGCUCUGCCCCUCCACAGACCCGGGCACUGUACGAUGACAGACUCCUUGCCCCAGCACCCUCAGCAUGGCUCCUGGGGCCCUCUUACAGGCUCAGGCCUCCCCUCUGAACCAACAAGGGCACUGCACCCUCGUCCUACAGCCCCAUUCUCUCUGGCCCCACUCUCCUCCCUCAGAUCAAGACCACACUGGCCCAUCACCUCCUCUCUUUUCCCCUUCCCAGUCCACCAGUGUCCUCCUAGCCUGGAGCUGGUCACUUGCCUUAGCUCAGAGCCCUCACCAGCAUACCCGGGGGACAUUGUCACCUUGGGAAAGGUCAUGUCAAGGUCAUCCCUGUUAUAUUUAGGCUGAGCUAAGGAAGAUGUCUGGGAUCAGAAUGGUCAUGAACUCGGGAACGCGUAGGACUGGGUGGGGAGAGUGGGUGGUCAUACUGUCCCCCUGCAGCAGGGUAGUUCAAACUGGCUCCCUGGGGCGAGGGGGAGGGGAUCUGAGGGAAGAGGAGCUGACACCCAAGUCUGCCCCCACAGGAGCCCAGGGGAGGUGUCAGGGUCCAGUCGCACCCAUUCUGGGGGGCCGUGGGGAUGAAUAGCACCCCAACAGGCCUUUCUCCCCUUUGUUGUCACAUCUGGCAAGGCUUGGCAGGAUGAACGUGGCCACCUGCCACACGCUGAGCUUGAGCUCUGGUGGACACCUCAUCCUAGCUGCGCUCCCAUGUCCUGUCUUCAAAGAGGAGUGGCAGCUCCGCCUCUACACUCCCUCCCCCAGCUUUCUCCCCAGGCCUCACCUGGCCUCUUCCCAUGGAAUCUGCCCUCCAAGGGCAAGCCCAUGCCUAGCCCUGCCUUCCAACCACUCCCAAAGGUGCCUCUCCAGCCCCGACCCCAGUUCCUACUGCCUUCUGCCUGAGGAUAACAGAGAUGACCUGGGGGUGAAGGGCCAUGAGCUGCUCAGGAUGCUGCUGGAAGAGCACAGAGCGCAAAGUCUCUUGUGGAACUGACAGCCGGGACUCAGCAUCCUAGCUCCGCUGAGGCAACACAAGGUGGCAGAUUUGGGAGUCCCAGCAUCUGCCUGCGAGGGAACCUCCCAGGCUGCCAAAAAGCAUCUGAGUCCAACAAACUCAGCAGAGGAAUGACUUCCUUUCCCAGAGGAAACCCGCUCCGGGACGCCACCAUCACUACCACCUCACCCCGCUCGGGUGCCCUCCUCUCAAAUGUCUCUCUGAUCCACCACAGUGGGUGUCUCCUCAGGCUGCAGGCACCCUCGCCCUGGACAGAGCAGCCACAUCAAGCCUCUUCAGCAUCACUGGGGAUCAGAGCAAGGUGGAGAGCAAGACAAGAAUCACCUUUCAGAAGAAAGUGGCCUAUGGGAAAGAUGCGACGAGGAAGAGGAAAGUCAGAUUCUCUGACAGAUGUCGCCAGCUGAAGAUUUGCAUGAACAAACCAGAGGAAUUCCUCAGCGUUGGAAGCAAACAUCUCAAAGCACAGCAAACCAAGGGAGCUCUGGCUAGGUGCUCUUAGCAAGCAGCUGGCGUUGGGAGAGGGGAGGAAAGCUCCAGGUGCCCCCUGACCCUUCCAGGGAUUCCAAGUCUGGACAGAUGAGAAACAGUUCCCCCUUCACUCUGGAGCUGAGCCCCCGAGUCAGAAGUGGCAAGAAGGAGGAAAACUCAGUAGCACUUUUCUCUCCAGCCACCAAGCGCCCUGUAGAGACCUCAAUGGUUCUGCCUUCCCUCUGGUGGGCAGGUCUGAGUACCUCUACCACUCCAUAGACGAAAACGCCAGUCUGAGAAGGAAGUUUGCUCCAAGUCACCCAGGGGAGCCCAGAAAGGCAGCUGGGCUGCAAAUGCCCAGUUUGACCCUCUGCUUCCAAGACAGAUUGCCUCUAGACAUGCCCCUUACCCUGUCUCAUCCAACAGAGCGGAGACCUCUGAGAAUUAAACUCCCAAAGACGAGCAGGUCGAGGAGUUCUUGCUCUGAUCAUGCCCCUUCCUGUGGCCCGGCAAGAAUUCCCAGGAGACAGGAGGAAAGUCCCCAGGCUCUGUCCCCACAGGGACCGAUCCCUCUGCCACCCAGCUCGGCCACCUCCUGCCUGGCGCCCCCAGAUGCCCCACAAUCUGCCCCACGGGCGGGACCCGACCACGGGUGGCCCCGCCAGGCCUCAUUUUUGGAAGCUGGCGCCGCCAGGCCCGCGGCCGGACACCAGGAAGGCAAAGUCCCUUUCCGGCCACCGGGUGCCUCGCCGCCCCGGGGCCGCCCUGCCCGGCCGCGCCCCCGCCCCGGCGCCCCGAACG